rnacentral:rRNA from 1 species
UACGUGAUUUGAGUUCAAACCGGAGAUCCCCGGGCCGUUUUUUUAAAAACAUGUCUGUAUGAGAGAUUUAUAAAGUCUGACCUGCCCAUUGGAAAACUGAAAGGCCGCGGUAUUAUGACCGUGCAAAGGUAGCAUAAUCAUUAGUUUUUUAAUUGAAGGCUAGAAUGAAUGGUUGGACAAGAAAUAAUCUGUCUUAAAUUAAUAUAUUGAAUUUAACUUUUAAGUGAAAAGGCUUAAAUGAUCUGAGGGGACGAUAAGACCCUAUAAAACUUUAUAUUUUAAGGUGGAAGAUAAUUUUAUUUUAAAAUUACUAUUUUAAAUUAUUUUGUUGGGGCGACAAGGAUAUAAGAAAGGGUAACUGUCUUUUAUUUUUACAAUAAUAUUUGAAUUAUUGAUCCUAAAAGGGAUUAAAGAUUAAGUUACUUUAGGGAUAACAGCGUAAUUUUCUUUGAGAGUUCUUAUCGACAAGAAAGUUUGCGACCUCGAUGUUGAAUUAAAGGUUCUUUAUAGAGUAGAGACUAUAAGAGAAGGUCUGUUCGACCUUUAAAAUUUUACAUGAUCUGAGUUCAAACCGGAGAGAUCUC